AACAAACUCCACUGCAUUUUAUCCGUGUGUUCUACUCACAUCACUGUGUCAUCCUAGCCUCAGCUUCUUCAUCAGCAAAGAGACUUCUGAAGUGAUCUCAAAUGAGUAGAAAAGAGGUCCCAUGCCAUAUUACCUUCUGUAACUCUCACAGCAUGGUGUUAUUAUCAUCAUCCUAUGUACAAAGAGACUUCGGGUCAGACAAGUAAGUUGCCCCAGAAACACUGCAGGCGGCCACCUUCUUAGAUCCGCGUCUGGGAAGAACUGGAAUCUUCCGGACCCUUUGCCGCGGCGCAGAUUCCGGGUAAAAGAUGUUGGGCACGAAACUGUUCUGUCGUCCCUCUUUUUUGAAAUCAGUGAAUACUUGUAAAGGAAACAACAAUGGAAUAAGAGUAAAGCCCAAUGGUUUCCUAUUUUAUCUCUGAAAUAAACAUCCAGGAGACUGGACUAUU